rnacentral:rRNA from 1 species
AUGAAGGCGUACACAGCUGCCGAGGACAAGCUUCUUUGCGAGUGUUGGCGAGACAUUGGACAAGACCCAAAGACGGGCGCCGAGCAAAAGCAUUCAACCUUUUGGACUCGUGUGCACCGAGAGUUUCAUGAGCGCAAGAAGUUUUCACCUUACCAAUUUGUGAGCACGCGCGGAUGGGUCUCCAUUUCCAAGCGGUGGAGGGUGAUCCAACAAGAGUGCAACAAGUUUUGCACCACCCUUGAGAGCGUCAAGGCCCGCCCCGCGAGUGGCAUCGGCAUGCAAGACAUGGUAUGA